CUGAUUUCCUGAGGGCGACAAGUACAGUCCCAUCUGGUGAGCAAGGACAAGUUGUCCUCACAAAGCAGAGUCGGAGGCUAAGGGGUCCUGACCCACCCUCGAGGCUCUGGGGGAGGGCACCAGGUGGGGCUCUUUCCUGAGGCCUCUCCUGUGUUCCUGGGGUCUGACAGUUGCCCAAGCACCUCAAGGUGGCCAUGAUCCCAGCGCUGACUACCUGGCCCAAUGCCAGAGCCACUGCUGUGUCCAAGCUCCCCCUCCCCGACCUCUUGGUCCCUGGGACUCCUGCACACAUCAGCACGUGCUAAAAGUCCUCUGAAAUUCCACAGGGCAGUGAAAGGAUGGAGCCAAAGCCACACCCUGCUGUUUAUGGUGACUGAGCCAUGUCCACAUCUCUGCUCCCCAGUGAGGCCAUCAGAAAAUGCCACAGAGCUGAGCUGCACACACUGCAAGGCCCCACAUCCUCACACUCACCCCUCAGCCUGUAAACAUGUUUGCAGGGGUGGUCGCGGGGUGCCACCAAGCUACCCAUGUGGGUCAGAAGCACAGACAAGGGAGCAGGUGACCCCACCCCACAGACUCGGCCAGACCGAGUGGGCACCUCCCGCCUUUCUGUGUCCCCUGCAGUGCACACACACACACACACACACACACACACACACACACACACACGCCAUGGCCCUAGGUCACUGACUGAUCCGAGUCCAGCCCUUCUUUUGUGGAACCUGUAACCAGCAGAUUCACUGGACAUCAAACCAUUUAGUGGCUCAUUCUCCCCACAUAUUAAAGAAAACUUCUAAGUUUCCCUUGAGGCAAAGCUUUCAGGUUCAUGCCAGAUACAGAAUUUUUCCUAAAAGUUAUUGGGGUCGUCCUAAGGGUCCCGCAGUAAAGUUGAUAUCUAGGUUCUCGUAGAAUAGAAUUGGUGAUCAAAGCACCCUGCAAAAUACAUUUUUACCCCUAUAAGAUUAGCACAUGUUAUUUGUACCAGACUCCCCAGGGCAUAAAAGAGGAAGAGCCCUGUACUGGUUCCCGGAUGGCCAUGAGUUCCAGCGCUGCCCUUUGCCUCCCGUGUUGGCAGGUGGAAGACCCUACGCCGACGGGCCGCCUCCAGCUUCCAGCUUAGGCGGGGUGCACCCCCUGUCCUGCCACAAAUGUGACAAAUGCUCAAUAAACCAUUGCAUAUGGAAGAUUUUUGACUCUUGGAAUUUUUGGUCUUUUUUUUCUGGUACUGGGGAUCAAACUCAGGACCUCGCACUUUCGAGGCAGGAAUGGUGCCACUGAGCUACAUCCCCAGUCCUACUCUUAGAAUCUUUGUUCUGCAGACGAACUGACUCCCUUUGGCUCCUGCCAGGUCCAGGGCAGCCGAGCUCAGAGCUCCUCUGGACUCACGAGUGGCCUCCGCGUCCACUGGUGACCGUCUUCUGUGUGUGCACUGGAAUGUUGGUUCGCUGAAUACUUUCCUCUUCAGCUGCAUUACACACUGCUAAGUGGGUUUUCAAAGCAGUGGUAUAAAUUUACAUACCUUCCACAUAAAAUUUCUCCUGCUUUAUGUCAUUGUCAACAUUUUAAAGAUGAAGUUUUGUUCAAAGUGAGCCAUUCUGGUGAGUGGUAUCUCACUGUGGCUUUAAACUUGCAUUUCCACAAGUGUUUCUUGUUUACUGUCCUGUUACCCAGUAAACUUAGGAAAUUCACUUAUUAAUUCUCAUAAUUUACAUGUGGCUUCUUUUGUUUUCUGUCUGUACACAGUCAUAUAAUCUGAAAAUAACAGUAGUUUCCUUUCUUUCUUUGCUUUGUGUUUAUUUUUUCUGUGUUGAUUUUCUAGACCCCAGAGAUUUUUGGAUCAAAGGAUGUUCCCAAGGUCUCAGCUAACCAAACUGAGAAUUAGCUUGCAAAAGUUAUCUGCAAUGAUAAACUUUAUGGUAGAAUUGGCGAUAACCCCUCCUAGCUCAUCCAUCUGGCAAUAUGGAGUAAUUAUCAAAGCAGAACUAUUGCUCCCAAGUCCAUCAGAUGGGGAACUGGGGAAAGGUCCUGAGCACUCACAGCUCUUCCACUUUUCAUUCACCAGUGAGGUUUUCUGAGGCUCAACCUGAUACCAGAAAAAGGGCAGAGCUGAACUUCCUUGUGACUUCCUUGAAACACGGUCUCACUAUGGACUUCAGACAGGCCUCGAACUUGUGAUCCGCCUGCCUCAGCCUCCUGGGACGAUAGGUGUACACCACCACAUGCGGCCCUCUCUUGUGACUUGUGACUGUGCAAACAGGCUGUAAAGCAGGGGCCCAGCUUGGGGUUAAGGACUGGAAUUGCUUCACCCAGGAGUCAGAUGAGGCACCUGGGUGUGGUCCUCAUGACAGAAUCCACAUAACCACGGAAUUCACGGCAGUUUCGUUUUCUCUGUUUAGAAUUCUGGCAAGACAGGCCUGUGUUUUUAAAAAUUAUUGCAGCUCUGUGAAUCAAACCAAAGAUUAAGUGAAAACACCAGUAAACAGAACCAAUAAAUCAUUAACUUAGAGAACAGACCUUCUAGGCCUGUUGCCUGGAUUGCUUUGCUCAGUAACAGAAGGGUCAAGGACUUCUCUGGGAAAGGUGAUAAUGCGUUCACCAAGCAUGAACGCAUUUCUCCUGAGCCUGCUCCACAGUGAAGGGCUGAAAGCGAUGCUAUAUCGCCCCCUAGUGGUAGCCAAACCUAUAUUCACUCUGAAGCAAACAAAAAUGGGCUUGGGGAUUAGUCAGCACACUUUGAUGAAGCCUGCAAUGAAUCACAUGUGGCAGAUACUGAAACGUAAUCAUUCCAAGACUUCCCUGCCUUCUGUUUUAUUUCUAAAAAUUUUCACCUUAGCAUUUUACUGGGAUAUAUUUGAGCAAUGAAGGGAAAAUCAGUAGCAAUGUAUACAGCACAUACAACCAUGUGACACACGUGGAAGUAAAUUGACAAGCAUGUGGGACAGGUUUCCCAAGACAGAGUUCCAUGGUUGUAAUGUGCACGUGGUAGACAUGAGUCCACACAGGCCAGAGAAGUGAUUCCAGAAAAGCAUAUCUAAGUAGGCAUGUCUAAAAGGAUAUUACUAUUAAGAAGUAUCCCUUUUAGGGCUGGGGAUUUAGCUCAGUGGUGCUGCCACCUGCCUCAAAAGUGCAAGGUCCUGAGUUUGAUCCCUGGUACAAAAAAAAAGAAGAGAAGUAUCCCUUUUAUUUAUUUAUUUUUAUUUGUUUAUUUAUUUUUGUACUGGGGAUCGAACUCCAGUCCUUGUGCUUGCACAGCAGGCAGCAAAACCACUGAGCUAAAUCCCCGGCCCUUAUCCCUUUUAAUUUUAUCUUAUUUUCCCCAGCUCUAUUAAGGUAUAAUUUACAGACUAAAAUUGCACAUAUUUACAGUGUGCAACUUGAUAUUCUGAUACAUGUAUGCAUCGUGAAAUGAUUAAAUCAAGCUAAUUAACAUGUGCAUCACCUCACAGACUUUUUUGUGGUGGGAACAUUUAACAUCUAGUCUCUUAGCAAUUUUGACAUUGCAAUGGUGUUGACCCCCUGAACCCCAAGGUUUGACACCCACGGAUUCAACCAACAGAGGGUCAGAAAGGUAAUUAGCCCUAAAACGGAUGCAUCUGUACUGAAUAUAUACACACCCUUUUUCGUGUUAUCCCCUAAACAAUACAGUCUAACCAUUAUCACAUGGCAUUUACACUGUAUUAGGUAUCAUAAGUAAUCUAGAGGUGAGUGAAAGUAUGCAAGAGGAUGAAUGUAGAUUAUGUACAAUUAUGACACUUUGGGUAAAGAACUUGAGCAUUUGUGGAUUUUGGUAUCCUUCAGGCGUCCUGGAACAAAUGCCCCCCUGGUUAGAAGUUGACUAUUCUUAUUUACUCUAUCAUCAUGCUAUACAGUAAACCUCCAGGACUUGUCUCUCCAUCUAACUGAAACUUUAUCCUUUGACCAACAUCUUUCCACUUCUCCCAGCCCCCGGUAGCCACUAUUCUAUCCUCUGCUUUAUGAAUUGGCUCUUAAUUCCAUGCAUGAAUGAGAUUACAUAGUAUUUGCCUUCUGUGCCUGGCUUAUUUCCCUCGACAUGAUGUCCUCUGGGUAGAUCCAUAUUGUUGCAAAUGACACGGUUUCCUUUUUUGUCCAAAAGCCCAAUAGCAUUCCAUUUUGUGUAUGAAUGUGCAAUGUCUAUGAGUGUGGCUGGGGCAUAUAUUGUACUUGACGGCUCUGAAGACAUCUAGAUGCUUAUGGGGCCAUACAUUAGUGACCUCUGUGUUUUAAGUCUGGAAAACCUUAGGCUGGGGCAUUUUGGACUGAGGAUCACUGUGCUACUGUGGGUGAUGGGAUCUGGAACAGGCUCCUAGGUUCUUGCAUGAGAUGAACAAACAGCUGGACGUGGCACACUAAGGUAAGGAAACAGCAGAGAGGUUUAUUAAGGUGAUAGUGCACUCAGACAGCAGGCUCUCACCUGUGACAGAAAAGUGGCCUGGGCACUGGGGGCAUAAGGUGCAGGGGUUUAAAAUGUUGCACAGGUUCUGGGGUGACUCCCUUUGUGGUCUUCAAGAUCGUGAUUGACAGGAUUGACAGGGCGCUGAGUCAUGUCAGCUGCACCUACUGCACAUGUCCUUUUCCAUAAUUCACUGUCAGAAUUGGAUGCAAGAGAUGCAGUCCAUGCACCUGAACCUUCUAUGAGCUCCAGGUGAAGAAAGGUUACUUCAGGUCAUGGCGGUGGGCCUGGUGCAUACGCCUCUUGAUUUGGAAUUUUGGAAUUUUCCAAAGGAGGCUUAGGGGUCUUUGGAUUUCUUUACUCUGCCUCCAUGUAAUGUAAGCUUUAGGAUUGGGGCAGAGGGCUUGGCCCUGGGGCGUUGCUCAGGUUCAGGUGAGUGGAGGGAGUGGCCUGUAG
rnacentral:lncRNA from 1 species